rnacentral:rRNA from 1 species
CUGUUCAGAUAGCCAUGCACGUCUAAGUACAAACUAAAUGAUGGUGAAACUGCAAAUGGCUCAUUACAACGGUUAUGAUGUACCCGGGAGUUCCGAUGGAUAUUUCCAGUAACACUAGAACUAAUACAUGUCCCUGCGUUUAUUAGUUUCGCACAGUCCGUCGCUGAGUCAUGGUAAACAGUUGAUCGACUCGACGUCCCGGAACAGUUUCCGCCCCAUCAGCUUCGAUGGUUGGGUAUUGGCCUACCAUUGCAACAACGGGUAACGAGGAAUUAGGGUUUGAUUUCGGAGAGGGAGCCUGAGAAACGGCUACCACAUCUACGGAUGGCAGCAGGCGCGCAAAUUACCCAAUGCAGACACUGUGAGGUAGUGACGAGAAAUAAUAAAGCGGGACUUCUGUUUCGCUAUUAUAAUGAGGAAUAACCAAAGGUCAUUCCGAUUAGCAACUGAUGGGAAAGUCUGGUGCCAGCAGCCGCGGUAAUACCAGCGUCAGUAGCAUA